GACGAACGCUUGCGGCGUGCUUAACACAUGCAAGUCGAACGGAAAGGCCUUUUUCGGGGGGUACUCGUGUGGCGAACGGGUGUGUAACACGUGAGUAACCUGCCCUUGACUUUGAGAUAACUUCAUGUAACUGGGGCUAAUACCGGAUAGGAGCUUCGGCUGCAUUGAGGGUUUUUUAAAGUUUUGGCGGUCGUGGAUGGACUCGCGGCUUAUCAGCUUGUUGGUGGGGUAGUGGCUUACCAAGGCUUUGACGGAGAGCAGGCCUGCGAGGGUGAGCAGAGACAUUGAGACGAAGAUUCGGCGCAGACUCCUAGAGGAGGCAGCAGUGGGGAAUAUUGCACAAAACGAGCAAGCCUGACGCAACAACGCCGUGUGGAGGAUGAGGACCUUCGGAUUGUAAUCCGCUUUCGCUUCUGACGAAGCUUUGUGUGACGGUAGUAGGUAAAGAAGCAUAGGCUAACUACGUG
rnacentral:rRNA from 1 species